GGUGAGAUGGCUCAGUGGGUAAGAGCACCCGACUGCUCUUCUGAAGGUCCAGAGUUCAAAUCCCAGCAACCA
rnacentral:tRNA from 1 species